rnacentral:rRNA from 1 species
UACGUAGGGGCCUAGCGUUGUCCGGAUUUAUUGGGCGUAAAGAGCUCGUAGGCGGUUCGGUAAGUCAGGUGUGAAAUCUCCACGCUCAACGUGGAGGCGCCACCUGAAACUGCCGUGACUCGAGUCCGGUAGGGGAGUGUGGAAUUCCUGGUGUAGCGGUGAAAUGCGCAGAUAUCAGGAGGAACACCGGUGGCGAAGGCGGAUCUCUGGGCCUUACCUGACGCUGAGGCGCGAAAGCUAGGGGAGCAAACAGG